UCCGUCGUAGUCUAGCUGGUUAGGAUUCUCGGCUUUCACCCGAGAUACCCUGGUUCAAAUAGCUGCGACGGAG
rnacentral:tRNA from 1 species